AUACUUACCUGGCAGGGAGACACCACAAUCAGGCAGGUGAGUUUCCCAGGGCCAGGCUCAUCCCUGGCACUCUGGGUGUGCUGACCCCUGUGAUUUCCCCAAAUGUGGGAAACUCAACUGCAUCAUUUGUGCUACUGGGGGACUGUGUUUGUGCUCUCCCCUC